UUUCGUUCUUGAAACCCGAAUUAAACAGAACCAGCGAACAUCGGAGGAGAUUGACAACCACCACCCUCCUUCAACCUCCGACAAAUUCACCACCACCACUACCACAAAAUCACCAUUAACAGUUUAACGCUGUCUUCAAUUCACUUCUCAAUCGAUUGAACCACCACCAACACCAUCAGUCACCACUACCAUCACCAGUAAACCACAAAUCAACAGACGAUGGGAAGAGCUAAUUUUUCAUCUGGCGUUGUAAUCCAGAAGAAGAAGUCAGGACACAUCAAGAACCUCCCAUACGAGAUCUUGUUAGACAUUCUUUCUCGGUUACCAGUUGAGUCUGUUUUGGAGUGCAAAUUAGUAUGCAAAGGGUUGCUAAAGCUCCUCCAUGGUAGAACAAGUUUCUUCUAAAAUAUGCAUGUUACCCGCCAGCUUAACCAACUUUAUGGCAGUGCUGCUCAUGGUGAUAAGUUGGACACGGGCUUCCUUUUUUGUUGUACAAUAGGUGACAACCCGCACGGGCUACUUUUCUAUGGAGGAUUGUACAAUGAUAAGAUCAAUACUGAUCACUUGUACGAGUAUAAGAAGACACUAAAAAAGGUCAGAAUCCUCCAAUGCACUUUAAAUCGCCGCAACAAUGUUUGGUUAAUUCAUGCAAUGGGUUGAUCUGUCUUGGUAUAAAACACCGCUGAUGCGUUGAUCCCACCUACAUAUACAAUCCGGCCACAGGAGAGUAUGUUAAUCUUCCAAAAUUGAUUGUACCUCCAGGAAGUAGUUUUCCUCGCAUUGCCCGAGGGUUUGGAUACAUUCCUUCUACUAAUGAACACAAGGUAGGUAGAAUUUUUUACCCUGAUCGUCAAACAACUGGACAGGUCCAAGUAUACACACUCGGUAUACACACUGUGGCAUUUUGUUUGCAGAAUUGACCACCAUUUGGGGAAGGAACUAGUGGAAGUCCUUUAUGUUCUUCUUUUCUCCAAUCUUAUCUUUGAACCUUUUGGUCAAGACAAUCCAUAAGAGAUGUUGAAUUUAUUUUCUCAGAAGACUUUGGUACUGAAGGACAAGGAGGGUAAGCCAAGCUUUUGAACUGGCCUGAACUGGCUAUGUUCUCCGAAUAGUAGUCUGUGAUCAUUUUCCAUGUUUCUGUCUGUUCAUGUACUUCGACAGUUAUGGGAUUAUAGGAGACAUUAGGCAGAACCAUCUGCUUCAAAUACUAACCCUAUUUGCCAUGGAGACUCCUCUCAGUUUGGAUGCUGAAGACAUCAGAAAUGAAAAGGUGCUAAAUCACAAUAACCUUUGCUUUUACAAUAUGGAAUGGUCGUAUUCUCUCCCUGCUAACUUUCCAGGUAUUUAUUAAGUGAAAGGUCUAUGCUCAAUGAAUCCUCUGCAACUUACAACAUGGUGGUUGGGCUGUAUAAGAGUCACACUAAGGGGAGGAUUAGCUAUUCAGGCUACCCAGCAGCCUACAAUGUUUGAAAUGUGUUUACGAGCACAGAGGCUAAUAAAAUCAUGGCUGAAAUUGUGUUGGCUACCUUAAUAAAUGAUAGGACGUCUGCUCGGAGGCUUACUGCUUUUGGUAACAAUACUGCAGUUAUUAGUUGUGUUUACUUGUUAUUAGGAAUGGUGUGCAAGAGAAUGAGCUCUACAGGUACAUGUAGCGCAACCAAAGUCUACAUUUGUUAUUUAGUUGAAACACUGAAUGCAAUGAAAGAGGGACGAACAUCACACUAUGCACCAAAGGAGGGGCACUUUUUGUUUUCUUUUAAAUAAAUAGUGAAACAGGGAAUGUCACCAAAAACUGAUCUCAUCUGUUGUCAGUGUCUAAAGUCAGUAGUGACUAGCGAGCAAUUUGAGCUUUGCAGGUGCAUGAUGGCUCUCCACAGUGCAAGUUGUGGCAAGUAACAAAUGACAGAAGGGAGUCAAGGGACAUGGCAGAAGACAUAAACAUGAUCAUCUUAAGAGUAUGAGAUGUUGAUAUAUAUGACGUCCAGUUCGUCACCUGUUGCUAGUCAGUCAAAGUGCUGAGUGACAAACUGUGUGGCAAAUAUUGGUGAGCAUAACCAAAACGGUUUUGCUUCAAACAAAGUUUGACCGAGAU